GAAUUAUUUGUUCCUUCUGAAUAUAUUAAAGUAUAAAAUCGCGAGAUCAUUUAUCAAUAUAUAGUGACGAUGACAUCAUCAGUAUGUUUAAGUGAUGUCAUCGUGACGAAACAAAUAGAUGACAUCAUGGGAUUUUAUGAAGACAUAUCGCUUCGAUAACAAAAUCGUUUUACCAUAGAAUUCAUUUAUUAUAGCAUUUGUAAUCAGUUGACUGAUCAGGAUGACGUCACUUGAUUGCAGUAAUGCCUUCACAGUGAUGCCACUCAAUUGUUACGUCAUCUUGACGUCACAUCGGUGCGAUUAUAAUAUCACCCUGAAUUCUGAUUAACAUUGAAGGAUUUGAAUGAAGGCAUAUUUCGUUGUCAUCCCAAAAUGCCCACUCCUUGGGGCGAUCUUGAUCAAAGAUAACCUAUGUGUCUCGUGGGGCUGCGAGAAGUCUCUAUUAAGUUUAGUCUUGAAGGGUCAAACAGUGCGGGAGUCUUUACAGAACAGCCAGACAAACAAACAUUGCAUUUUAUAUAUAAAAAUUCUAUUUUUUAUUAUUUGGAUUUAUUUUGUUUUAAAGUUUACACCACCACUU
rnacentral:lncRNA from 1 species